AGCUCCGGUGGCCUAGUGGUUAGAGCGUCCGCCUCAGAUGCGGGAGGUCUUGGCUUCGAUUCCUUCACCGGUCGAGUCA